rnacentral:rRNA from 1 species
UCCGGGGGGAGCAAGCGUUGUUCGUCUUUCCUUUUCUUCCCGCGCGCGUAGGCGGCCACUGCAAGUCGGUUGUGAAAUCUCCGGGCUUAACUCGGAAAGGUCAACCGAUACUGCAGGGCUAGAGUGCGGAAGGGGCAACUGGAAUUCUCGGUGUAGCGGUGAAAUGCGUAGAUAUCGAGAGGAACACCUGCGGCGAAGGCGGGUUGCUGGGCCGACACUGACGCUGAUGCGCGAAAGCCAGGGGAGCGAACGGG